AUUGAACGCUGGCGGCAUGCUUUACACAUGCAAGUCGAACGGUAACAGGCCUUCGGGUGCUGACGAGUGGCGAACGGGUGAGUAAUGCAUCGGAACAUGCCCAGAGGUGGGGGAUAACGCAGCGAAAGCUGUGCUAAUACCGCAUGUGAUCUGAGGAUGAAAGCGGGGGACCAGGCAGCAAUGUUUGGCCUCGCGCCUUUGGAGCGGCCGAUGUCAGAUUAGGUAGUUGGUGGGGUAAAGGCCUACCAAGCCGACGAUCUGUAGCUGGUCUGAGAGGACGACAAGCCACACUGGGACUGAGACACGGCCCAGACUCCUACGGGAGGCAGCAGUGGGGAAUUUUGGACAAUGGGCGCAAGCCUGAUCCAGCAAUGCCGCGUGCGGGAAGAAGGCCUUCGGGUUGUAAACCGCUUUUGUACGGAACGAAAAGGCUCUGGCUAAUACCUGGGGCUGAUGACGGUACCGUAAGAAUAAGCACCGGCUAACUACGUG
rnacentral:rRNA from 1 species